AACCUUUGCUGUCUUGGGACGGAUCACCGCUGCAAGAGGGGAAGUUGCUACUGUGAUGAAUUCUGCCAUGUGGCACCAGACUGCCACCCAGACCACAGUGUCCUCUGCAACCCUGCUUCUCAGAUGACCAAGAUGGUGCUGCAGAUGGUGCUGAGGAUGGAGAACCCACCAAGCCCCGCUAGGAGCCACCUAGACUGGAUGCAGAGCAUGGCCCCAGCACCCGCAGAGCAGACACUGCGAUGACAACGGACGACACAGAAGUGCCCGCUAUGACUCUAGCACCGGGCCACGCCGCUCUGGAAACUCAAACGCUGAGCGCUGAGACCUCUUCUAGGGCCUCAACCCCAGCCGGCCCCAUUCCAGAAGCAGAGACCAGGGGAGCCAAGAGAAUUUCCCCUGCAAGAGAGACCAGGAGUUUCACAAAAACAUCUCCCAACUUCAUGGUGCUGAUCGCCACCUCCGUGGAGACAUCAGCCGCCAGUGGCAGCCCCGAGGGAGCUGGAAUGACCACAGUUCAGACCAUCACAGGCAGUGAUCCCAGGGAAGCCAUCUUUGACACCCUUUGCACCGAUGACAGCUCUGAAGAGGCAAAGACACUCACAAUGGACAUAUUGACAUUGGCUCACACCUCCACAGAAGCUAAGGGCCUGUCCUCAGAGAGCAGCGCCUCUUCCGACAGCCCCCAUCCAGUCAUCACCCCGUCACGGGCCUCAGAGAG
ensembl:lncRNA MUC20-OT1 MUC20 overlapping transcript